rnacentral:rRNA from 1 species
UACGGGGGGGCAAGCGUUGUUCGGAAUUACUGGGCGUAAAGGGCUUGUAGGUGGCCAACUAAGUCAGACGUGAAAUCCCUCAGCUUAACUGGGGAACUGCGUCUGAUACUGGAUGGCUUGAGUUUGGGAGAGGGACGCGGAAUUCCAGGUGUAGCGGUGAAAUGCGUAGAUAUCUGGAGGAACACCGGUGGCGAAGGCGGCGUCCUGGACCAACACUGACACUGAAAAGCGAAAGCCAGGGGAGCAAACGGG